CCACCUCUUCCCAUUCCGAACAGAGAAGUUAAGCCUCGUCACGCCGAUGGUACUGCGUAACAGUGGGAGAGUAGGUAGCCGCCAUUU
rnacentral:rRNA from 2 species